rnacentral:rRNA from 1 species
UACGUAGGGGGCGAGCGUUGUCCGGAGUUACUGGGCGUAAAGGGCGUGUAGGCGGUUGAAUAAGUCCGGUGUGAAAUUCCGAAGCUUAACUUCGGAACUGCGCUGGAUACUGUUUGACUGGAGUUUGGCAGGGGUAACUGGAAUUCCUGGUGUAACGGUGAAAUGUGUAGAUAUCAGGAGGAACACCUGUGGCGAAGGCGGGUUACUGGGCCACAACUGACGCUGAGACGCGAAAGCGUGGGUAGCAAACAGG